GACAGGCAAGACAGCGGAGGCACUCCGAGAGAUCUUCAGGAUUUAUGACCGCCAUGUGAGUUUAAGAUUAACUUUGCUGUGAGCACAAUGAUGGUUCUUGAUGAUGAUUUGAUGAUUUUGUAAGUUGAACUGGCUUGAUAUACUGGUAAAUAUUUCUAUAAUGAUUACUAUGUUUUGGUUGUCAAUCUAGGAACAACAUGAUGUAAACAUGAGACGCAGUCUGGCCCUUCGUGCCCUUCCGGUGUACCUAAGAGAGGAUGACUCUGAUUUCUUCAAGACCUGGAAUCAAGAAGAUGAGCCAGACAUUGCUGACACUCCUGUGGGUCUCCUUACUGUGGUCACUGACAACACAACUCAUUUCAGCCCCAAGAGCAUUUCUGUUUUCAUCGAAGAUGAAAUUGUUGUGAGUGAUCUCCCUAGGUUGACUGAUGUUAAGUUUUUAGAUAACUGUUCAGGAAUCAGUGUUCUUAACUCCUGCUUUUAAAAUAAAUCCGGCUGUGUCAUUUUGUUUUAUUUUCUCAUCUUAAUCUUAAUCUUAACCAAUGCUAACCCUAUUGCCCAGCCCAAGUUUUUGUACUGAAUAAACGUACGGGAAACGACUGUUCAAUUCAUGCACUAUACAUGUUUAAUGUUCUGUUGCCUAAUGCCUACCUUGAUGUUGCCAAUUGAAGUACGUCACAGUAGAAACCAGUACUGUAUUUGAAUGUUUUAUUUGAAAAAAGUGAGUUGCAGCCUUCAAGGUACAGUAAGAGCCAAAACGUUUUUAAACAGUGUUAAAUGGCUCCACAUUCUAAUAGUUGUCAUUGCUGUUGAGGAUGGAUUAUACUUAGAAUCUUAUUGAAUUUUAUCACGAAUCCUUUGUGAGUUUUUAUCAUAAUGUUUACUGAAUAAUGUGAGAUGGAGACCCAAAAUACUGAAUCUACCCUCUGUAGCAAUGACCACUAUCAGAAUAUGGAACUAUUAACACUUAAUGUACUUUAAAACACAUUUUGUUUUCCUGGAGUCAUUUCCUUUUCCUUUUAUUUUAAUUUAUGACGAGCACUUUGUUUUGACUGAGCUCCUUUGAUUCGUGCCUUUUAAAAAGCACAUUGUGUUGAAUAAAAAAAGUUGUUAAAUUGUCA